rnacentral:rRNA from 1 species
CCCCUAACGAGGGCAACCCUUGUCCUUAGUUACCAGCACGUUAAGGUGGGCACUCUAAGGAGACUGCCGGUGACAAACCGGAGGAAGGUGGGGAUGACGUCAAGUCAUCAUGGCCCUUACGGCCUGGGCUACACACGUGCUACAAUGGUCGGUACAAAGGGUUGCCAACCCCCGAGGUGGAGCUAAUCCCAUAAAACCGAUCGUAUUCCGGAUCGCAGUCUGCAACUCGACUGCGUGAACUCGGAAUCCCUAGUAAUCGUGAAUCAAAAUGUCACGGUGAAUACUUUCCCGGGCCUUGUACACACCGCCCGUC